rfam:Triticum aestivum genome assembly, contig: Triticum_aestivum_CS42_TGACv1_scaffold_404243_5BL
CAGAUACUCCCUCCGUCCGGAAAUACUUGUCAUCAAAAUGGAUAAAAAAGGAUGUAUCUACAACUAAUAUACAUCUAGAUACAUCUCCUUUUAUUCGUUUUGAUGACAAGUAUUUCCGGACGGAGGUAGUAUCAA